rnacentral:lncRNA from 10 species
GAUUUCUUCAAGUUCUCAACAUCACUUAUCUUUAAAGAGGAUUAUGGUGAAGCUUGACUCCAUCCAUGCACACGGAUAUGCCCCUCCUUGAAGGUAAAACAGAAUUAUUGCUGGUCUCUUCUCCCAACUCUGAACUUCCCUCUCCAGGGAACCCAGAGGUUUCCAUGCAUCUCUUGAACACCCUCAACCCAAAAUCUGCAUCCUAUUCAAAAGCACAACAUCGUGGUAUUAAGUUUUUGUGAAUAUAAGUAAAGGAUUAUGUAAUGAAAAACCAACAAUAGUAAUAACUCCUAUCACAAAAUAAACCAGCCACAGCUGCAGCCUGAAACAGACGGUGAAGAGCCGCAUCCAGAAAUCAGAAACAGCCAUUGUGCUGAAUCAAGGUUGGCCAGCUGCACUGGGUGACAUCCUCACAGGACCAACCUCUUUGCAGGUUCUGGCACCAUCAGUCACUCCAGCCACUGCACACAGCACAUAGUCCUGCACAUCUGCAGGCUUUAGCUGAGAUGUUUCCAGAAACCUGGCUUGGUGUUCCAGAUGUCACUGCUAGUGUCCAUGUACCAAGGUCAGCAAGACAGGGUAGAAAAUCUGCAGGGUGAUGUCCCAUUCAAGAGUAUAGAGACCAGGAGUUCACAGCAACUCCAGUCCUAUCUGCCCUUGGACUUAAGAUAACAAUGUUAAUCUCUUCUGAUAGUUAUGCAGGGAGGAGGAGUUUCCUUGGAUCAAAUAUUGCAGCUACGAUCAAUUAGGCAGGGCAAGGGCUGGAGAGGAAAGGUUGUCUCCCAUUCCUCAUGGGCCACCCUGCCUUUAAGCCUCCCCUGCAAACAAUAAGCUGUGGCUCACACAAAUGCAAUGGCAAAAGGUGCUACUUUUCUCUUUGAAUAAAAUAUUCAAAGGCAAUUAUAGAAACAGAUUUAUUACAGAUAAAUUUAGUGUCGUUGAAAACUUCAGCCAAAAAAAACAAAGAAUUGGUUAUAUAUAUAACAGGCAAAUUAUAAUAUGACUGGACCCUUCGUUAACAUCACAUUUCUUUAAAUCUUUUUUUUCAUAUACUUUAAGUUCUAGGGUACAUGUGCACAACAUGCAGGUUCGUUACAUAUGUAUACAUGUGCCAUGCUGGUGUGCUGCACCCAUUAACUAGUCAUUUACAUUUAGUAUAUCUCCUAAUGCUAUCCCUCCCCACUCCCCCUACCCCAUGACAGGCCCUGGUGUGUGAUGUUCCCCUUCCUGUGUCCAAGUGUUCUCAUUGUUCAAUUCCCACCUAUGAGUGAGAACAUACGGUGUUUGGUUUUCUGUCCUUGUGAUAGUUUGCUGAGAAUGAUGGGUUCCAUCUUCAUCCAUGUCCCUACAAAGGACAUAAACUCAUCCUUUUUUAUGGCUGCAUAGUAUUCCAUGGUGUAUAUGUGCCACAUUUUCUUAAUCCAGUCUAUCAUUGAUGGACAUUUGGGUUGGUUCCAAGUCUUCGCUAUUGUGAAUAAAGCC